GUUUGCACUCAUCGGGGAAGGGUGAGAACCUUCGACUAAGGUUCGAUUCGAGCGAAAGCGAGAGAACGUUGCCACAGGCAACGGCCCGAAGGGUGAGGAGCGAAGCGACUAAUAAUCCUUCCCCCACCACCA
rnacentral:sRNA from 1 species